rnacentral:rRNA from 1 species
CUACGGAGGGUGCAAGCGUUAAUCGGAAUUACUGGGCGUAAAGCGUACGUAGGCGGUUAUUUAAGUCAGAUGUGAAAGCCCCGGGCUUAACUUGGGAACUGCAUUUGAAACUGGGUAACUAGAGUUUAGUAGAGGGGAGUGGAAUUUCAGGUGUAGCGGUGAAAUGCGUAGAGAUCUGAAGGAACACCAGUGGCGAAGGCGACUCCCUGGACUAAAACUGACGCUGAGGUACGAAAGCGUGGGUAGCAAACAGGAUUAGAAACCCCAGUAGUCC